AGUAAAUUUUGUUUUUGGAUUUUAAAAAUUUAAUAUGCAAAUUAUGUAUAAGACCAAUUUUGAAUAUAUAGUUUGUGUAUAUGAAGCAAAAACUUGAAAAUUGUAUUAUUACUAAUUUUUUUUAUAAAUAGGUUUAUAAUAAUUGUUAUUCUUUAGUGAAACCUUCAUCAAGUUCCUCAAGUAAGUUUUUUAUGGUAAAAUGCUAGUUCAGUGGUCUAUGCAGGCAGCAUGUAGAAAACGAAUAAAAACCCGACUACAACAUUCUGAAAUUAGAGCUGAGAUUUCUAAAAGACAGACUAUAAAACGCCAAAAAAUCGAUGAAAAAGAAAAAAGAAAGUUAGAGCAACAAUUAACAUUAUUAACUAUUAGUGAAAUUCUGAAUUUGUUUAAAAACUUAUCUACUAAGCAAAUUGAUGAUUUAAAUGAUGUUAUGUGUGAAAGAAUUGUUGGGAGAAAUUUUUGCCAUGAAUGGUAUGAUUCCGAUAUGUAUAUUCUUGUAUAUUGGCAGAGUAGAAAAACUUAAGAAAGCACAGAAAGGCAUUAUAUACACUAUUUCUUAUUGGACUAGAGAAGAAAAUUAUACUCAAGCAGUUGAUUAUUAUAUGAAAAAAUUCCAGCUAGUUGCUGACAUUGUAUCCGGUCAGAGGGGGAACCAUCUAUAACUAUCACAAAGCAUUGUGUGAUGUAUUUUGAGUUUUG